rnacentral:rRNA from 1 species
AUACGUAGGGGGCGAGCGUUGUCCGGAAUGAUUGGGCGUAAAGGGCGCGUAGGCGGCGCGGUAAGUCUGGAGUGAAAGUCCUGCUUUCAAGGUGGGAAUUGCUUUGGAUACUGCCGCGCUUGAGUGCAGGAGAGGUUAUCGGAAUUCCCGGUGUAGCGGUGAAAUGCGUAGAGAUCGGGAGGAACACCAGUGGCGAAGGCGGGUAACUGGACUGCAACUGACGCUGAGGCGCGAAAGUGUGGGGAGCAAACAGGAUUAGAUACCCUGGUAGUCCACGCUGUAAACGAUGGGUACUAGGUGUAGGAGGUAUCGACCCCUUCUGUGCCGGAGUUAACGCAAUAAGUACCCCGCCUGGGGACUACGGUCGCAAGACUAAAACUCAAAUGAAUUGACGGGG